AGUGAACGCUGGCGGUAGGCCUAACACAUGCAAGUCGAACGGCAGCACAGUAAGAGCUUGCUCUUACGGGUGGCGAGUGGCGGACGGGUGAGGAAUACAUCGGAAUCUACUUUUUCGUGGGGGAUAACGUAGGGAAACUUACGCUAAUACCGCAUACGACCUACGGGUGAAAGCAGGGGCUCUUCGGACCUUGCGCGAUUGAAUGAGCCGAUGUCGGAUUAGCUAGUUGGCGGGGUAAAGGCCCACCAAGGCGACGAUCCGUAGCUGGUCUGAGAGGAUGAUCAGACAAACUGGAACUGAGACACGGUCCAGACUCCUACGGGAGGCAGCAGUGGGGAAUAUUGGACAAUGGGCGCAAGCCUGAUCCAGCCAUACCGCGUGGGUGAAGAAGGACUUCGGGUUGUAAAGCCCUUUUGUUGGGAAAGAAAAGCAGCAGGUUAAUACCCCGCUGUUCUGACGGUACCCAAAGAAUAAGCACCGGCUAACUUCGUG
rnacentral:rRNA from 1 species